UUGUAAGAGUGUCAGUUUUUA
rnacentral:siRNA from 1 species